rnacentral:rRNA from 1 species
UUUUUGGAGAGUUUGAUCCUGGCUCAGGACGAACGCUGGCGGCGUGCUUAACACAUGCAAGUCGAACGAUGAUCCGGUGCUUGCACCGGGGAUUAGUGGCGAACGGGUGAGUAACACGUGAGUAACCUGCCCUGGACUCUGGGAUAACUUCGAGAAAUCGGAGCUAAUACCGGAUAGGACCUUUCCUCGCAUGAGGUUGGGUGGAAAGUUUUUCGGUUUGGGAUGGACUCGCGGCCUAUCAGCUUGUUGGUGAGGUAAUGGCUCACCAAGGCGUCGACGGGUAGCCGGCCUGAGAGGGUGACCGGCCACACUGGGACUGAGACACGGCCCAGACU